GGUGAACGCUGGCGGCGUGCUUAAGACAUGCAAGUCGAACGGCAGUCUUCGGACUGUAGUGGCGCACGGGUGAGUAACGCGUAACUGACCUACCCCAAAGUCGCGGAUAACGAUUCGAAAGAAUCGCUAAUACGUGAUGUGCUGUCAGAUCCUGUUCUGCCAGUAAAGAUUGAUUGCUUUGGGAUGGGGUUGCGUUCCAUCAGCUAGUUGGUGGGGUAAAGGCCCACCAAGGCGACGACGGAUAGCCGGCCUGAGAGGGUGGCCGGCCACAGGGGCACUGAGACACGGGUCCCACUCCUACGGGAGGCAGCAGUUAGGAAUCUUCCACAAUGGGCGAAAGCCUGAUGGAGCGACGCCGCGUGAGGGAUGAAGGUCUUCGGAUCGUAAACCUCUGAAUCAGGGACGAAAGACACUUCGGUGGGAUGACGGUACCUGAGUAAUAGCACCGGCUAACUCCGUGCCAGCAGCCGCCGUAAAAC
rnacentral:rRNA from 1 species